rnacentral:rRNA from 1 species
AUGGAGAGGACCAGGAGGCUGUUCGAGACGGAGACGCACGGUGGCCGGGCGGCGUACAGGCUCCACGCCGUCACGGUCGCCGCCGGGAUCCUCCUGCUGCUCUACUACCGGGCGACGCACGUCCCCGCCGCCGGCGAGGGCAGGGCGGCGUGGCUGGGCAUGCUGGCGGCGGAGCUCUGGUACGCCGCCUACUGGGCGGUCACGCAGUCCGUGCGCUGGAGCCCCGUCCGCCGCCUCCCCUUCAUCGACAGGCUCGCCGCCAGAAGGUAUGGAGAGAGGCUACCUUGUGUGGAUAUCUUCGUAUGCACCGCAGAUCCACACUCAGAGCCACCAAGUCUUGUCAUCUCCACCGUCCUAUCGCUCAUGGCAUACAAUUACCCAGCAGAAAAAAUUAGUGUGUACCUUUCUGACGACGGAGGUUCAGUUCUCACUUUCUAUGCUCUGUGGGAGGCCUCCUUAUUUGCAAAGCAUUGGAUACCAUUCUGCAAGAGAUAUAACAUUGAGCCAAGGUCACCAGCCGCUUACUUCUCAGAGUCAGAUGGGCAUCAAGAUUUGUGCAGCCCAAAGGAAUGGUCACUUAUCAGGGAGAUGUACGAAGAUAUGACUGAGCGAAUUGAUACAGCUGUUUUGUCAGGUAAAAUUUCGGAGGAAGUCAAAGCAAAUCAUAAAGGAUUUCAUGAAUGGGAUCAAGAAAAUACCUCAAAAAAUCACCAGCCAAUUGUUCAGAUUCUGAUAGAGGGCAAAGACAAAAAUGCAAAUGAUGAUGAAGGAAAUGUGCUACCAACACUUGUGUACAUGGCACGGGAGAAGCGGCCUCAGCACCACCAUAAUUUCAAAGCUGGGGCAAUGAAUGCUCUGAUAAGAGUGUCAUCAGUGAUAAGCAACAGCCCUAUCAUCAUGAAUGUGGACUGUGAUAUGUAUUCCAACAAUUGCGAUACAAUCAGAGAUGCACUGUGCUUCUUCCUUGAUGAAGAAAUGGGUCACAAGAUUGGAUUUGUGCAAUUCCCCCAGAACUAUAACAAUUUGACCAAGAAUAAUAUAUAUGGGAACUCCCACCAAGUCACCAAUCAGGUGCUAAUGGGUGGUAUGGACAGUGUGGGCGGUCCUAUGUAUGUUGGCACUGGAUGUUUCCACAGAAGGGAGAUCCUUUGCGGAAGGAGGUUCACCGAAGACUACAAGGAGGACUGGAACGGAGGAAUCAAGGACAAAACACAAGAGAGCAUAGUUGAGAUUGAAGAGAAAGCGAAGUCUUUAGCAGCCUCCACUUAUGAACAUGACACACAGUGGGGAGAUGAGAUUGGGAUCAAAUAUGGUUACCCAGCAGAGGAUAUAGUCACAGGACUGGGAAUACAUUGCAGAGGAUGGAAGUCAGUCCACAGCAAUCCUCCAAGACCAGCAUUUCUAGGUGUAGCUCCAACAACACUUGCUCAGACACUACUGCAACACAAAAGAUGGAGCGAGGGUAGCUUCUCGAUUUUUCUUUCAAAGUACUGCCCCUUCAUGUUUGGGCAUGGAAAAAUCAAGUUACGGCAUCAAAUGGGCUACUCGAUCUAUGGAUUAUGGGCACCCAAUUCAAUCCCAACACUAUAUUAUGUCAUCAUUCCUUCACUAGCUCUCCUUAAAGGCAUCUCCUUGUUCCCAGAGAUUACGAGUCCAUGGAUGUCACCCUUCAUAUAUGUCUUAUGUGUGAAGAAUAUGUAUAGCCUGUAUGAGGCAUUAUCAUGUGGAGACACAUUGAAAGGAUGGUGGAACGAACAAAGGAUGUGGAUGGUAAGAAGAAUAACCUCAUAUCUCUAUGGCUUGACUGACACUGUCCGGAAGUUACUAGGACUGUCGAAGAUGACAUUUGCAGUUACAUCGAAGGUAAGUGAAGAAAGUGAAUCCAAGAGAUACGAGCAAGAAAUCAUGGAAUUCGGAUCAUCAGCUCCAGAAUAUGUGAUCAUUGCAACUGUCGCAUUACUCAACCUUAAUUGUCUGGUCGUAGGGCUUUGUCAAAUUAUGACAGGUGGCUGGAAUAUACUCUUGAAUGUAUUUUCCCCCCAGCUCAUUCUCUGUGGAAUGCUAGUGAUCACCAAUAUUCCAUUCUAUGAAGCAAUGUUCGUGAGGAAGGACAAAGGAAGAAUACCAUUCUCAGUUACAUUAGCUUCUAUUGGCUUUGCGAUAUUGGCCCUGCUGGUACCAAUAGUGUAA